rnacentral:rRNA from 1 species
UACGUAGGGUGCAAGCGUUGUCCGGAAUUAUUGGGCGUAAAGAGCUCGUAGGCGGUCUGUCGCGUCUGCUGUGAAAAUCCAGGGCUCAACCCUGGACCUGCAGUGGGUACGGGCAGACUAGAGUGCGGUAGGGGAGAUCGGAAUUCCUGGUGUAGCGGUGAAAUGCGCAGAUAUCAGGAGGAACACCGGUGGCGAAGGCGGAUCUCUGGGCCGUA